rnacentral:rRNA from 1 species
UGCGACUUACGGGGGGCAGCAGUGAGGAAUAUUGGUCAAUGGGCGGGAGCCUGAACCAGCCAAGUCGCGUGAGGGCCGCCGGUCCUCUGGCUUGUCCCCCUCUUUCGGCGGGGCGCAAUGCCGGGCACGCGUGCCCGGAGGGAGAGUACCCGCAGAAUAAGCAUCGGCUAACUCCGUGCCAGCAGCCGCGGUAAUACGGAGGGCGCGAGCGUUAAUAGGAAUUACUGGGCGUAA